rnacentral:rRNA from 1 species
GACGAACGCUGGCGGCGUGCUUAACACAUGCAAGUCGAACGGAAAGGCCCUGCUUUUGUGGGGUGCUCGAGUGGCGAACGGGUGAGUAACACGUGAGUAACCUGCCCUUGACUUUGGGAUAACUUCAGGAAACUGGGGCUAAUACACGAUAGUAGCUCCUGCUGCAUGGUGGGGGUUGGAAAGUUUCGGCGGUUGGGGAUGGACUCGCGGCUUAUCAGCUUGUUUGUGGGGUAGUGGCUUACCAAGGCUUUGACGGGUAGCCGGCCUGAGAGGGUGACCGGCCAGAUUGGGACGGAGAUACGGCCCAGACUCCUACGGGAGGCAGCAGUGGGGAAUAGUGCACAAUGGGCGGAAGCCUGAUGCAGCAACGCCGCGUGCGGGAUGACGGCCUUCGGGCUGUAAACCGCUUUCGCAUGUGACGAAGCGUGAGUGACGGUAAUGGGUAAAGAAGCACCGGCUAACUACGUG